rnacentral:rRNA from 1 species
UGGGGAAUUGUUCGCAAUGGGCGCAAGCCUGACGACGCAACGCCGCGUGGAGGAUGAAGAUCUUCGGGUCGUAAACUCCUUUCGAUCGGGACGAAUUGUCCGCGGGCCAAUACCCCGCGGGCGUGACGGUACCGAGAGAAGAAGCCCCGGCUAACUCCGUGCCAGCAGCCGCGGUAAUACGGGGGGGGCAAGCGUUGUUCGGAAUUACUGGGCGUAAAGGGCGCGUAGGCGGCCUGUUAAGUCAGACGUGAAAUCCCUCGGCUCAACCGGGGAACUGCGUCUGAUGCUGGUGGGCUUGAAUCCGGGAGAGGGAUGUGGAAUUCCAGGUGUAGCGGUGAAAUGCGUAGAUAUCUGGAGGAACACCGGUGGCGAAGGCGGCAUCCUGGACCGGCAUUGACGCUGAGGCGCGAAAGCCAGGGGAGCAA